AUGGUCAAACCAUUAGCCAUGCACAAGCCGUAUAUGCCCUGUACGCAGCCCAUACACUUCCCAGACAAUGGCUCUGUACUAGCAUGCCCUGCUCAUCCUUCUCGAGUCCAUUCGCCACGCCUGCGUGCGCCGUGCCUGCUGCUCGAGCAUUGUUGCUACCUUCGCCCGCAGCCGCCACCGUCUCCUCCGCUGCCGCGGUCGCUGCUCCUACUUGCCGUCGCUGUGCCGCAGCGCCCCUCGCGCCUGCGCGCCGGACGCUCGUCCGCGCCGAGCUCCUCCUGGCCGGCUGCAUACACAUGCACACGUGAUGACUGA
rnacentral:rRNA from 1 species